rnacentral:rRNA from 1 species
UACAGAGGGGGGCAAGCGUUGUUCGGAAUUACUGGGCGUAAAGCGUGCGUAGGCGGUCUGUCGCGUCCGUUGUGAAAACUCGAGGCUCAACCUCGGGGCUUGCAGUGGAUACGGGCAGACUAGAGUGCGGUAGGGGAGACUGGAAUUCCUGGUGUAGCGGUGGAAUGCGCAGAUAUCAGGAGGAACACCGAUGGCGAAGGCAGGUCUCUGGGCCGCAACUGACGCUGAGGAGCGAAAGCAUGGGGAGCGAACAGG